rnacentral:rRNA from 1 species
GUAGGUGGCAAGCGUUGUCCGGAAUUAUUGGGCGUAAAGCGCGCGCAGGCGGGUUCUUUAAGUCUGAUGUGAAAGCCCACGGGCUCAACCGUGGAGGGUCGUUGGAAACUGGAGAACUUGAGUACAGAAGAGGAAAGCGGAAUUCCACGUGUAGCGGUGAAAUGCGUAGAGAUGUGGAGGAACACCAGUGGCGAAGGCGGCUUUCUGGUCUGUAACUGACGCUGAGGCGCGAAAGCGUGGGGAGCAAACAGGAUUAGAUACCCUGGUAGUCCACGCCGUAAACGAUGAGUGCUAAGUGUUAGGGGGUUUCCGCCCCUUAGUGCUGCAGCUAACGCAUUAAGCACUCCGCCUGGGGAGUACGGCCGCAAGGCUG